rnacentral:rRNA from 1 species
UUCUGUGAUGCCUCUUAGAUGUUCUGGGCCGCACGCGCGCUACACUGAAGAAAUCAGCGUGUGUUCCUCAUCCGAAAGGAUUGGGUAACCCGUUGAACCUUCUUCGUGAUGGGGAUUGGGGAUUGCAAUUAUUCCCCAUGAACGAGGAAUUCCCAGUAGGCGCGAGUCAUCAGCUUGCGUCGAUUACGUCCCUGCCCUUUGUACACACCGCAA